GAUGAACGCUGGCGGCGUGCCUAAUACAUGCAAGUCGAGCGAACAGAUGAGGAGCUUGCUCCUCUGACGUUAGCGGCGGACGGGUGAGUAACACGUGGAUAACCUACCUAUAAGACUGGGAUAACUUCGGGAAACCGGAGCUAAUACCGGAUAAUAUAUUGAACCGCAUGGUUCAAUAGUGAAAGACGGUUUUGCUGUCACUUAUAGAUGGAUCCGCGCCGCAUUAGCUAGUUGGUAAGGAAACGGCUUACCAAGGCAACGAUGCGAAGCCGACCUGAGAGGGUGACCGGCCACACUGGAACUGAGACACGGUCCAGACUCCUACGGGAGGCAGCAGAAGGGAAUCUUCCGCAAUGGGCGAAAGCCUGACGGAGCAACGCCGCGUGAGUGAUGAAGGUCUUCGGAUCGUAAAACUCUGUUAUUAGGGAAGAACAAAUGUGUAAGUAACUAUGCACGUCUUGACGGUACCUAAUCAGAAAGCGACGGCUAACUACGUG
rnacentral:rRNA from 1 species